GACGAACGCUGGCGGCGUGCUUAACACAUGCAAGUCGAACGGCAAGGCCCUGCUUUCGUGGGGUGCUCGAGUGGCGAACGGGUGAGUAACACGUGAGUAACCUGCCCUUGACUUUGGGAUAACUUCAGGAAACUGGGGCUACUACCGGAUAGGAGCUCCUGCUGCAUGGUGGGGGUUGGAACGUUUCGGCGGUUGGGGAUGGACUCGCGGCUUAUCAGCUUGUUGGUGGGGUAGUGGCUUACCAAGGCUUUGACGGGUAGCCGGCCUGAGAGGGUGACCGGCCACAUUGGGACUGAGAUACGGCCCAGACUCCUACGGGAGGCAGCAGUGGGGAAUAUUGCACAAUGGGCGGAAGCCUGAUGCAGCAACGCCGCGUGCGGGAUGACGGCCUUCGGGUUGUAAACCGCUGUCGCCUGUGACGAAGCGGGAGUGACGGUAAUGGGUAAAGAAGCACCGGCUAACUACGUG
rnacentral:rRNA from 1 species